AUUGCUUGAGAUAUAUUUUUCUGUAAUAAAUAGUUUAGCAAACAAUUGCGUGAUACCAUUGAAAUAUUCUAUGACACCAAAUGAGACAAAAAUGAAACACAGCAGAAUUGCACACACAAACGAAAAUAAAAUUUGGAAAUUCAAGUCUACACGAAUUUGGCUAAUUUCCAAUUAGACAGGAGUAAACAAUCUGUCACAUUUUCCAACGAAUAGAGUUUGAACACGUUCAGCCACGACUGUCAGACACUUGGGACGGAAAAGAAGGAUGUUGAAAAAUGGCCAUUUUUAGAUCUCCUUGCGAACGAUAAAUUCUUACAGGACAUUUAAGAGCAUCUUUCGACGAACAAGCAUGUUAUUACCAUUUAUCCGAAAAGCGAUGGGAAAGUUAAAAAAAAAAAUGAGUGCGAAGAUGAAAAAUUGGCAAACUUACUCGUGUGUUACACUUAAUCUUCAUUUUCUUCAUAUUCUUGUUCAUUUAUAGGAUAAUUUCUCGUCCAUAUCGACAUCGUAAUAUCUCAGAAAUUCUGCUGUAAUAUCACUAGAUGGUUGCUACGUGAGAACAAUGAUGAACGAUACGCUCGCUGACUUUGUAUCCGCAUAUAUAUGUUUUGUAUGCCAGCAACGAAUUACACUCGGUCUAAAAACAGAAUUAAUGUAAACACUUUGAAGUAAUUAUGAAGUGCGAAAAAUCAGCCAGAGUCACUCUCAGAUACUAGCUUGAAGACGUAAACAGAUAAGACCUUUCCCCAUUGCAUCUGUCAGUUUCGAUGUUCGAAACGGGGACUUUGAAUUCCAGAUUGCAAUUAGCAUUCGAUUCCAUUCACUAUCAAAAAUAUCAAAUUGAAAUAGAACCGAAUAAUUGCAUUGGAAUAAGGCAGUCGAAUAGUUAAAAAUACUUUGUUUACCUAUUAAUUGACACAGAUAAAACCGGAUUGGAAGACAUUGUAGCACAGGCAUGCGGGUGCAAAGUUGAUGAACUUAACAACGAUCCUGUGAUGCUCUGGACUGGCUCGAUUCCAAGCUUCGAUUGAUUUACCAGCAGAAUUGCGAAAAAAUCAUUUCCUAGAUGGUUCAGUAUGUGGAAAAGGUGAAGAUUAAGUGUAACGCGUGGAUUAGUUUCUUGAAAGAUGCUCUUAAAUGUUCUGUUAGAAUUUGUCGUACCCAAGGAAGUCAAAAAAUGGCCAUUUUCUAACAUCUUUCUUUAUUUUUCAUUUCCCAUACGCAUACUUGACAAGUUUUCAAAUUUGAUUUUCUAAAAACUGCAGCCUCCAACGCAACUUUGUUACUCCUCAUUUUCAUCUUAUUUUGAUUUAUUAUUCAUCUUAUUGUCACAUGUAAGAAAACGUAAAGUUUGAAUAUACAGAAUGUACUGUAAACGCGA